rnacentral:rRNA from 1 species
AUUGAACGCUGGCGGAAUGCUUUACACAUGCAAGUCGAGCGGCAGCGCGGCCUUCGGGCUGGCGGCGAGCGGCGAACGGGUGAGUAAUGCAUCGGAACAUGCCCAGUCGUGGGGGAUAACACUUCGAAAGGAGUGCUAAUACCGCAUACGUCCUGAGGGGGAAAGCGGGGGAUCGCAAGACCUCGCGCGAUUGGAGUGGCCGAUGUCAGAUUAGCUAGUUGGUGGGGUAAAGGCCUACCAAGGCGACGAUCUGUAGCUGGUCUGAGAGGAUGAUCAGCCACACUGGGACUGAGACACGGCCCAGACUCCUACGGGAGGCAGCAGUGGGGAAUUUUGGACAAUGGGGGCAACCCUGAUCCAGCCAUUCCGCGUGAGUGAAGAAGGCCUUCGGGUUGUAAAGCUCUUUCGGCAGGAACGAAACGGUGGGCUCUAACAUAGUCCGCUAAUGACGGUACCUGAAGAAGAAGCACCGGCUAACUACGU